rnacentral:rRNA from 1 species
GGAUUAGAUACCCUGGUAGUCCACGCCCUAAACGAUGAGUGCUAGAUGUGGGGAAUUAAUCUCCGUGUCGCAGCUAACGCGUUAAGCACUCCGCCUGAGUAGUACGGUCGCAAGACUAAAACUUAAAGGAAUUGACGGGGGCCCGCACAAGCGGUGGAGCAUGUGGUUUAAUUCGAUAAUCCGCGAAAAACCUUACCAGCCUUUGACAUGGAAGUCGCGAGAUAUGGAGACAUAUCUCUUCGGUUCGGCCGGACUUCACACAGGUGAUGCAUGGCUGUCGUCAGCUCGUGCCG